rnacentral:rRNA from 1 species
ACUAUGCCUAGUCGUAAACUUUAACUUACCCCUCCAUCGCCCGGGAACUACGAGCUAAGCUUAAAACCCAAAGGACUUGACGGUACCCCACAUCCCCCUAGAGGAGCCUGUCCUAUAAUCGAUAACCCCCGCUUAACCUCACCAUUUUUUGCUAAUCAGCCUGUAUACCUCCGUCGUCAGCUUACCACGUGAGCGUUAGUGAGCCUAAUGUUUUUCCAACUAUACGUCAGGUCAAGGUGCAACAUAUAAAAUGGAAAGAGAUGGGCUACACUUUCUAUAAUAGAAUAAACGAAAGACUUAAUGAAACCUAGUCAGAAGGUGGAUUUAGAAGUAAAGUGAAACUAGAGUGUUCACUUAAAUACGGCACUGGGGUGUGUACACACCGCCCGUCACCCUCCUCAGCUCUGCAUAAAAGUAUUUAACGCCUUUUUAGAGACUCAGA